rnacentral:lncRNA from 1 species
GACGUUCUUUCACUAAAUAAUUCAAAAUUUUACGACAAAUAUGAUGAUUUCAGCUUUCUAAUUGUGAACUUUCCAUUUCUAAGUAGCAACAUUCAACAGCACCUGCAUACGAUUGAUACAACAUUCCCGUGCUUGCAUUUCCUAUCAUGAUUUUCUAUAGAGGGUUGCUACUUACAAGGAAGCUACUAAACCAAGAGUUCGAAAUGGCGAAGUUUAAAUCAUCCCUUCGUAAAUUUUACGGACGCCAUCACGAGUUGGUUAACCGUUAUGGAAAAACCGUUUCACAAAUGAUAUCGGAUAUGUUCCUUACGUCGUAACUACAAUCCCCUUCCCUUUCAUGAAUGUGACCUACCGAAUUAGACUAUUUAUCCGGAUUUGUUAUAACAUAAGCAACACGACGGGUGCCACAUGUGGAGCAGGAUCUGCUUACCCUUCCGGAGUACGUGAGAUCACCCCUAGUUUUUGGUGGGGUUCAUGUUGCUAAUUCGUUAGUUUUUCUAUGUCGUGUCAUGUGUUUUGGUUUUUAUGUUUGUCUUCUUUCAUUUUUAGCCAGGCGUUGUCAGUCUCCUUUUUCGAUUAAUGAGUUUGACUGUCCCUCUGGUAUCUUUACGUCCUAUUUUUAGAAUUUUGUUUAAUGAUAUUUAGCUCACACCCAUCAUUUAUUAUCUUUACUAUUCAUAAAUUUGGCAUCAAAGUGAACACAUGAAUGUCAGACUAUAAGUAAUUAUGUCAUUAUUCAGUUUCCUACACUGUUCUAGUCAAAGUAUAUUCUCGCGUAACUCAUGUCCAAUGCAUGUUAAUCAAAUAUGAC